rnacentral:rRNA from 2 species
UGCAAGUCGAGCGGACAGAAGGGAGCUUGCUCCCGGAUGUUAGCGGCGGACGGGUGAGUAACACGUGGGUAACCUGCCUGUAAGACUGGGAUAACUCCGGGAAACCGGAGCUAAUACCGGAUAGUUCCUUGAACCGCAUGGUUCAAGGAUGAAAGACGGUUUCGGCUGUCACUUACAGAUGGACCCGCGGCGCAUUAGCUAGUUGGUGAGGUAACGGCUCACCAAGGCGACGAUGCGUAGCCGACCUGAGAGGGUGAUCGGCCACACUGGGACUGAGACACGGCCCAGACUCCUACGGGAGGCAGCAGUAGGGAAUCUUCCGCAAUGGACGAAAGUCUGACGGAGCAACGCCGCGUGAGUGAUGAAGGUUUUCGGAUCGUAAAGCUCUGUUGUUAGGGAAAAACAAGUGCAAGAGUAACUGCUUGCACCUUGACGGUACCUAACCAGAAAGCCACGGCUAACUACGUGCCAGCAGCCGCGGUAAUACGUAGGUGGCAAGCGUUGUCCGGAAUUAUUGGGCGUAAAGGGCUCGCAGGCGGUUUCUUAAGUCUGAUGUGAAACCCCCCGGCUCACCCGGGGAGGGUCAUUGGAAACUGGGAAAACUUGAGUGCAGAAAGAGGAGAGUGAAAAUUCCCCGUGUACCGGUGAAAUGCAUAGAAAUGUGGAAAAACACCAGUGGCAAAGGCGACUCUCUGGUCUGUAACUGACCCUGAGGAGCUAAGCGUGGGGAGCGAACUUG